rnacentral:tRNA from 1 species
CAGGGAGACAACAAAAUGUUUAAUAUUAUUAUUUUGUCACCUUAGGUCGAUCGGUAUCUCACAUUCUUAAUUACUUUAAGGAUUUCAUUUCCUAAGUUUUUCUAGGUCACACCCAUUAUUUUUCCUGGGCCAUUAGCUCAGGUGGUUAGAGCGCACCCCUGAUAAGGGUGAGGUCCCUGGUUCAAGUCCAGGAUGGCCCAUAUCUCUAUGUUGGGGGUAUAGCUCAGUUGGUAGAGCGCCUGCUUUGCAAGCAGGAUGUCAGCGGUUCGAGUCCGCUUACCUCCACUGAUUACCACCUCUUCCAUAAUUUGGAGAAAGGAAAUUUUUUGAGUUGUGAUCAAAUUCUGAACGAAUCUAGCUUCCUAAUUAUCUUUAUUAAGAUGCUGGACUCAUUGAAUAAAUUUCAUUGUUUUCAGAGAACCUUGACAACUGCAUAGAUUAUUUUUAAAGACAAUAAGCAUCUUUAAUGAUGCAGAUUUAUUAUUUGUGCGAAUGCAUUAAUAACAAUUCUAUUAAGCUGAUGCUUCA